CAUACUGUGUGUGGUACCCUACUGCAGACAGUGGCAAUCAUGUAUAAUUAAAAAUGAUUGACACCUCUGCAAGUGUAGUAACACAUGACACAUGAGAU
ensembl:miRNA